rnacentral:rRNA from 1 species
GAUGAACGCUGGCGGCGUGCUUAACACAUGCAAGUCGAACGGUGAAGCAGGAGCUUGCUCUUGAGGAUCAGUGGCGAACGGGUGAGUAACACGUGAGCCACCUGCCCCUGACUCUGGGAUAAGCGCUGGAAACGGCGUCUAAUACUGGAAAUGUGAUGUGACGGCUUGGUCUGGAUCUGUCAAGAAUUUUGGUUGGGGAUGGUCUCGCGGCGUAUCAGCUUGGUGGUAAGGUGAUGGCUCACCAAGGCGUCGACGGGUAGCCGGCCUGAGAGGGGAACCGGCCACACUGGGACUGAGACACGGCCCAGACUACUACGGGAGGCAGCAGUGGGGAAUAUUGCACAAUGGGCGGAAGCCUGAUGCAGCAACGCCGCGUGAGGGAUGACGGCCUUCGGGUUGUAAACCUCUUUUAGCAGGGAAGAAGCGAAAGUGACGGUACCUGAAGAAAAAGCACCGGCUAACUACGUGCCAGCCGCCGCCGUAA